AAACCGACACAGGUGGGUGAGGAGAGUAUCCUAAGGCCAGCGAGAGAACUGUUGUUAAGGAACUCGGCAAAAUGACCCCGUAACUUAGGGAUAAGGGGUGCCACCAUCAGGUGGCCGCAGAGAAUAGGCCCAAGCGACUGUUUACCAAAAACAUAGGUUUCUGCUAAGUCGCAAGACGAUGUAUAGGAGCUGACGCCUGCCCGGUGCUGGAAGGUUAAGGGGAUCUGUUAGAGCAAUCGAAGCAGUGAACUUAAGCCCCAGUAAACGGCGGCCGUAACUAUAACGGUCCUAAGGUAGCGAAAUUCCUUGUCGGGUAAGUUCCGACCCGCACGAAAGGCGUAACGAUUUGGGCACUGUCUCAACAACAGACUCGGUGAAAUUGUAAUUCCGGUGAAGAUGCCGGAUACCUGCGACAGGACGGAAAGACCCCAUGGAGCUUUACUGUAGCUUGACAUUGGGUCUUGGUACUACAUGUACAGGAUAGGUGGGAGGCUUUGAAACCAGGACGCCAGUUUUGGCGGAGCCAUCCUUGGGAUACCACCCUUGUAGUACUGGGACUCUAACCAUAG
rnacentral:rRNA from 1 species